UGAGGAAGAAGGCGAGUUACAUCACCCCGGUGCCCGGCGGUGUGGGGCCCAUGACCGUGGCCAUGCUGAUGAAAAACACCAUCAUCGCCGCCAAGAAACUGCUGAAACCCAAAGAGCUCGAGGCUCUGCCUGCCUAGGCAGGACUGGCACCUGGGCCUGGCUGGGCUCGCCUCAGGAGCUGGGCCCACCAAGAACUGGGCCUAGCCAGGGCCCACCGAGAGCUGGGCCUAGCUGGGCCUCCCUUGGAUUUGGGGCCUCUCCUUGAAUUCAGGCCUAGCUGGGCCCACCGAGAGCUGGGCCUAGCCAGGCCUCCCUUGGAUCUGGGCCCACCACCGAGAACUGGGCCUAGCUGGGCUCCCCUUGGAUCUGGACCUAGCCAGGCCUCCCUUGGAUUUGGGCCCCUCAGGAUCUGGGCCUAGCUGGACUCCCCUUGGAUUUGGCCCCCCGAGAGCCAGGCCUGGCUGGGCCCCCCUUGGAUUUGGGGCCCCCCCUUGGAUCCAGGACUGUCUGGGCCCCCCAAAAGCCGGGCCUAGCAAGGCCUCCCUUGGAUUUGGGCCCCCGAGAGCCAGGCCUAGCUGGGCCCCCCUUGGAUCUGGGCCUAGCCAGGCCUCCCUUGGAUUUGGGUCCCUCAGGAUCUGGGCCUGGCUGGGCCCCCCAGGAUCCAGGCUUAGCCAGGCCCCCCUUGGAUUUGGGGCCUCCCCUUGGAUCCAGGCCUGGCUGGGCCCCCCAAAAGCCGGGCCUAGCUGGGCUCCCCUUGGAUCUGGGCCCCCCCUCAGGAUCCAGGCCUGGCCAGGGCCUCUCUGCCCACGACAUUCCAGACUGACUCCCGAACAGGCCGAUAGAAAAUGCAAUAUUUCUUAUUUAUUGUCUCGUAUGUGGGGCUGCUCCCUCUCGGAGCUCACAGGUAUUUAUUGGAAUUUGGUGAGAGCUGGGAUUAUCCACACUCCUGCUUUGUUAGAGCUGGGAUUAUCCACAUUUCUGCUUUGUGUUAGAGCUGGGAUUAUCCACAUUUCUGUUUUGUGUUUGAGCUGGGAUUAUCCCCAUUUCUCCUGCUUUGAGCUGGGAUUAUCCCCAUUUCUCCUGAGCCAGCCCUGCUCCUGCAGGAUCCUCUUGGCAUCCCAGCAAUUCCAGCCUCCAUGGUUUUAUUCUCCAAACCCCAACAUUCCCAAUUUCCUGCUGGAUUUUUAAUUUAAGCUCUCCUGUAGAAGGAAUUACUUGAAAAAAAAACCCUGAAAAUUGAAGCCAUAUUUGUGUAACAUUUUUUAGAGUGCAGCUAGGCUGGGCUUUAUUUCACUCUUUGGAUGGUGAAUUUUUAAAAAUCCUUUUAUUUUCUAACCAAAGAACCACCUUGGGGGUCAGGGGGAGGUUUCCUGCACCGUGUUGUAAAGUGUGAGUGCUCGGUGAGUAGUGCAGGUUAAAUAAAGUGUGAGAAGAGAAAAAUAAAAAAUCCUUU
rnacentral:lncRNA from 1 species